UAAGUUGAUAGUGAAAGCGUUCGGCUCAACCGAAUAUCCAUUAUCAAAACUGCAAAGCUAGAGGAUGAGAGAGGUUAUUGGAAUUCCCUGUGUAGGAGUGAAAUCCGUAGAUAUAGGGAGGAACACCGAUGGCGUAGGCAGAUAACUGGCUCAUUCCUGACACUAAGGCACGAAAGCGUGGGAGCAAACGGGAUUAGAUACCCCGGUAGUCCACGCCGUAAACUAUGGAUGCUA
rnacentral:rRNA from 1 species